rnacentral:sRNA from 1 species
GACCGCAGCGCGUAGUUCCAGCGGCAGAGUCCGCCCUGGUCCUUGAGCGCCUCCACGGCGCCCACGCUCAUCGCCACCAUCCACGACGCCUUCGCUGCACCCGCCAUUGAUGAGAUUGAUCCGAUGAUCUCCUCUUUAAAUUUCUCGCGCUGUUGUUGUUGUGAUUUGUGAACUGAAUUGAACGAUGCUUUGUUGUUGUUGUUGAGGAGGAGGGUUGGAGUGGAGCUGGAUUUAUACUGGAGGGAGGCCAGUGGGGGUGGCGCGAAACAGGUGGCCGCGCUCGCUGGUUUUCCCGCGAUACCGGGUGCUUCCUUCAGCCGCUUGCUCCUCGCUAUCUGUCCCGGCUGGGUUGGUGACUCACCA